rnacentral:rRNA from 1 species
GACGAACGCUGGCGGCGUGCUUAACACAUGCAAGUCGAACGGGCCCGCCCCUGUUUUUGGGGGUGGGUUGAGUGGCGAACGGGUGAGUAUCACGUGAGUAACCUGCCCCCUGCUCCUGGAUAACUGCUUGAAAGGGCGGCUAAUACGGGGUGUGCCGGCUGGUCCGCAUGGGCCUGGUCGGGAUAGUUUCAUCUUCGGGUGUUUCGGUGGGGGAUGGGCUCGCGGCCUAUCAGCUUGUUGGGGGGGUGAUGGCCCACCAAGGCGGUGACGGGUAGCCGGCCUGAGAGGGUGGGCGGCCACACUGGGACUGAGACACGGCCCAGACUCCUGCGGGAGGCAGCAGUGGGGGGUAGUGCACAAUGGGCGGAAGCCUGAUGCAGCGACGUCGCGUGAGGGAUGGAGGCCGUCGGGUUGUGAACCUCUUUCUCCGGUGGUGAAGGCCCUGUCCGUUGCGGCGGGGUUGACGGUAGCCGGGUAUGAAGCGCCGGCUAACUACGUG